AAGAGAAAAAAAACGCGCCUCCCAAAAAUUCAAUCUCAGCGAGUUUUUUCAAAUGUAGCCAAAUUAUUAGGGAAAAGUUUCAUUGGGUAAAACCAAUAGAUAAUCUAUCUCACUUUAUUCCCUCUUCCGUUCUCCCAUGUCGCUCACCCCUGGUUGUCGUCAUCCACUCAUCGACUCAUCGGUAGUCCUCGUCGUUGCCUACUCACUAUCGGGCCCACAUUGUGGUUGUCGCCUCCAAAGCCGGUGACCACCUUCGACGAAGCCACAACUGGAGCUAGGAUACACCGGUGAGGCGGUGACCAUAUUUUAUGAAGACAGGUGUUUUGCUGUCUAAUGUGGAUGUAGCUUCAUAUCUCCUCUCAAUUUUCCUCUAACUGUAUAUUCAAAGGUAUGAUUAAAUUGGGUCUUUUUAUUGAUUCCUUGAUUAGGUCGAGUAGAUGCAAUUGUUAGAGGGGGUUUGACGAAAUUGGGUCUUUCUAUUGAUUCCUGCGAUUUCGUCAACAUCAGGCACCAAUUUCUCAUUCUUCUUCUUGUUCUGGUUUCUUCUUUUCUGUCGCAAGUUUUUAUGUUCUGUUAUUAUAUAGCUAUGGUAAUGUUGAAGAAUUAUGGUUAUAGGUUAUCAUAGUGUUAAGUAUUAUGUUGUUGAGAUCAUUGAAAAAAAGAUGAAGACAAGGUGUUUGUUAAAAUGCUCAAACGAAAAAAAAAUCAUUUUACAGUGGGAUUAAACUACAUUUUCCAACUAUGUAGUGUCUAGGUAUAUUUUGAACUAAAAUUAAGUUUGCAAUGAAUUUAGAGCUUGUAUGAUUUCUUAACUCUAUACACACUUAUAUGAUUUUAAGAUUUUAUGUCAAGGUAAUUCAUAGUAGACAAUUUGGAUUUUGAUGUCAAGUACUGAAGUUUCUCUAAAAGAUUAAAUAUUCUUUGAAGUUUCACUUCCAGAUAGUUAUUAAGGUAAUUUGUGUAGCUUUUUAAUGUAAGAUAAAAGUGAGAUGUUAAAUUAGAAACUUCAAUGGACGGUGCUGUUUUUCAGAGUUAUUGGUUGCUGAUUUCAGUAGGGAUCGAUCAAGGGUGAAAUACAAAGGUGACCAAUCAAGAACAAGACAAAACUUCAGAAUUCAAAUUUCACAGCAUUUGGGUUUUGUUGGUGGUUCGUUAUUUGGAUAAACAAGAGGAGCAUUAUACAAAGUUCAAGGUCAAUCAAGUUUUAUUUAGCUUGAUGGUUUUAUGUUUUGAAUACUUCCACAACAUUUAAACUUUUUUUUGCAGACAUGUGUUUUAAGUAUGUAUAAUAGUUAAAAUAGUGAUAUCAAGUUUUUCAUUUAUUAA